UACAGAGGUGGCAAGCGUUGUUCGGAAUUACUGGGCGUAAAGGGAGCGCAGGCGGCCAGGUCAGUCUGAAGUGCAAGCCCGGGGCUCAACCCCGGAAUUGCUUUGGAUACUACUUGGCUUGAGUACGUCAGAGGUGAGCGGAAUUCCAGGUGUAGCGGUGAAAUGCGUAGAUAUCUGGAGGAACAUCGGUGGCGAAAGCGGCUCACUGGGACGAAACUGACGCUGAGGCUCGAAAGCGUGGGGAGCGAACGGG
rnacentral:rRNA from 1 species